rnacentral:tRNA from 1 species
GCCACCGUAGCUCAGUGGUAGAGCACUCGAUUCGUAAUCGAGCGGUCGUCGGUUCAACUCCGACCGGUGGCU